UGCAAGUCGAACGAUGAACCACUUCGGUGGGGAUUAGUGGCGAACGGGUGAGUAACACGUGGGCAAUCUGCCCUGCACUCUGGGACAAGCCCUGGAAACGGGGUCUAAUACCGGAUACUGAUCCUCGCAGGCAUCUGCGAGGUUCGAAAGCUCCGGCGGUGCAGGAUGAGCCCGCGGCCUAUCAGCUWGUUGGUGAGGUAACGGCUCACCAAGGCGACGACGGGUAGCCGGCCUGAGAGGGCGACCGGCCACACUGGGACUGAGACACGGCCCAGACUCCUACGGGAGGCAGCAGUGGGGAAUAUUGCACAAUGGGCGAAAGCCUGAUGCAGCGACGCCGCGUGAGGGAUGACGGCCUUCGGGUUGUAAACCUCUUUCAGCAGGGAAGAAGCGAAAGUGACGGUACCUGCAGAAGAAGCGCCGGCUAACUACGUGCCAGCAGCCGCGGUAAUACGUAGGGCGCAAGCGUUGUCCGGAAUUAUUGGGCGUAAAGAGCUCGUAGGCGGCUUGUCACGUCGGUUGUGAAAGCCCGGGGCUUAACCCCGGGUCUGCAGUCGAUACGGGCAGGCUAGAGUUCGGUAGGGGAGAUCGGAAUUCCUGGUGUAGCGGUGAAAUGCGCAGAUAUCAGGAGGAACACCGGUGGCGAAGGCGGAUCUCUGGGCCGAUACUGACGCUGAGGAGCGAAAGCGUGGGGAGCGAACAGGAUUAGAUACCCUGGUAGUCCACGCCGUAAACGGUGGGCACUAGGUGUGGGCAACAUUCCACGUUGUCCGUGCCGCAGCUAACGCAUUAAGUGCCCCGCCUGGGGAGUACGGCCGCAAGGCUAA
rnacentral:rRNA from 1 species